CCUACGGGUGGCAGCAGUGAGGAAUAUUGGUCAAUGGACGAGAGUCUGAACCAGCCAAGUAGCGUGAAGGAUGACUGCCCUAUGGGUUGUAAACUUCUUUUAUAAAGGAAUAAAACGAGGCACGUGUGCCUUUUUGCAUGUACUUUAUGAAUAAGGAUCGGCUAACUCCGUGCCAGCAGCCCCGGUAAUACGGAGGAUCCGAGCGUUACCCGGAUUUUUUGGGUUUAAAGGGAGCCGAGAUGGGUUGUUAAGUCAGUUGUGAAAGUUUGCGGCUCAACCGUAAAAUUGCAAUUGAUACUGGCAGUCUUGAGUGCGGUAGAGGUAGGCGGAAUUCGUGGUGUAGCGGUGAAAUGCUUAGAUAUCACGAAGAACCCCGAUUGCGAAGGCAGCAUACUAGGCUGUGACUGACGUUGAGGCUCGAAAGUGUGGGUAUCAAACAGGAUUAGAUACCCGAGUAGUC
rnacentral:rRNA from 1 species